CCAACUUCAUGGUAUCGUGGUUAUACGUGUGGUAAGACUGUAUAAACUCUCUGGUAUACCAAACGCUUACCAUGUUUAUCAACUAAUCACAAAAAGUAUUUUUAUGCACGUACACGUUCACUAUGUCGUGGAAACCCACCCGCCAUUACACGACUAAAGACAAUUGAAGAUCAGUUCUAGGAAAAUGAUCGUCCACUUGUAGGUUGUUUAACUCUGCGUUUCGACAGAAAAACACUCGAACGAUUUCUGAGGAUAUUACAUGUGUGCCUGAAAGAGCUCAGCGCUUGUAUAAAAGGAUUUUACUUUUAAAAAUAAGGAGUCCGCUGUCAUCGGAUUUUCGUAUUGAUCAAGUCUCUACUCCAUAUUUAACAAUUGGUCUCAACAAGGUCCAACCAUGUUACUGUGAUUGCAUAAAAUAAUAAUGCAAAGGACCCACGAAAUUAGAAAAUUUAUGUGAUGAAUAAAAUGUGUAUAAAAAAGGCUAUUCCCUAAACGGCCUAAACCAUAGUGGACAAAAAAAAAUUAAGGGUCAACUUUUGAUAAGAUUUAAUUUUAAUGUAUAAUCUUAUUUUUUAUACAAUGUUUAUACACUG